rnacentral:rRNA from 1 species
UACGGGAGGGGCAAGCGUUGUUCGGAAUUACUGGGCGUAAAGGGCUCGUAGGUGGCCAACUAAGUCAGACGUGAAAUCCCUCAGCUUAACUGGGGAACUGCGUCUGAUACUGGAUGGCUUGAGUUUGGGAGAGGGAUGCGGAAUUCCAGGUGUAGCGGUGAAAUGCGUAGAUAUCUGGAGGAACACCGGUGGCGAAGGCGGCAUCCUGGACCAACACUGACACUGAUGAGCGAAAGCCAGGGGAGCAAACGGG